rnacentral:misc_RNA from 1 species
AAGUCGUAACAAGGUCUACCGUUAGGUGGAACCGAGCGGAGGGAUCCAAUUGACCUGAGGGUUCGGUAAAAACUCCCAAACCCAUGUGAACUUACCUAUGUUGCCUCGGCAGGACCUACCCGGGACCUUACCCUGUAGCUACCUUGUAGCCUGCCGGUGGACAUCUAAACUCUUGUUUUUUUAUAGAAAUCUGAACGUCUUAUUAAAUAAGUCAAAA